rnacentral:rRNA from 1 species
GAGUUUGAUCCUGGCUCAGGACGAACGCUGGCGGCGUGCUUAACACAUGCAAGUCGAACGGUGAUGGCCAGCUUGCUGGUCUGAUCAGUGGCGAACGGGUGAGUAACACGUGAGCAACCUGCCCUCCACUUCGGGAUAAGCCUUGGAAACGGGGUCUAAUACCGGAUAUGAGCCUCUUCCGCAUGGUUGGGGUUGGAAAGAUUUAUUGGUGGGGGAUGGGCUCGCGGCCUAUCAGCUUGUUGGUGGGGUAAUGGCCUACCAAGGCGUCGACGGGUAGCCGGCCUGAGAGGGCGACCGGCCACACUGGGACUGAGACACGGCCCAGACUCCUACGGGACGCAGCAGA